UACAGGGGGGGCAAGCGUUGUUCGGAAUUACUGGGCGUAAAGGGCCAGUAGGCGGCCAACUAAGUCCGACGUGAAAUCCCCAGGCUUAACCUGGGAACUGCGUCGGAUACUGGAUGGCUUGAAUUCGGGAGAGGGAUGCAGAAUUCCAGGUGUAGCGGUGAAAUGCGUAGAUAUCUGGAGGAAUACCGGUGGCGAAGGCGGCAUCCUGGACCGACAUUGACGCUGAGCGGCGAAAGCUAGGGGAGCAAACGGG
rnacentral:rRNA from 1 species